rnacentral:tRNA from 1 species
GGGCUCGUAGCUCAGUGGCAGAGCAGUCCCCUCAUAAGGGAUUGGUCGUAGGUUCGAACCCUACCGAGCCCACCA